GACGAACGCUGGCGGCGUGCCUAACACAUGCAAGUCGAACGGAGUGUUGCGCUGAUUUGAAGGUAGCUUGCUACUGAAUUUUCUUGUAACACUUAGUGGCGGACGGGUGAGUAACGCGUGAGCAACCUGCCUUACAGAGGGGGACAACAGUUGGAAACGACUGCUAAUACCGCCUAACGUAGCGAGGGGACAUCCCCAGGCUACCAAAGGAGCAAUCCGCUGUAAGAUGGGCUCGCGUCCGAUUAGAUAGUUGGUGAGGUAACGGCUCACCAAGUCGACGAUCGGUAGCCGGACUGAGAGGUUGAACGGCCACAUUGGGACUGAGACACGGCCCAGACUCCUACGGGAGGCAGCAGUGGGGGAUAUUGCACAAUGGAGGAAACUCUGAUGCAGCAACGCCGCGUGAGGGAAGAAGGUUUUCGGAUUGUAAACCUCUGUUUUUAGUGAAGAAACAAAUGACGGUAGCUAAAGAGGAAGCCACGGCUAACUACGUGCCAGCCGCCGCCGUAAUAC
rnacentral:rRNA from 1 species